rnacentral:piRNA from 1 species
UGAAUUACCUCUUGAGGUCAUCAGCGA